rnacentral:lncRNA from 1 species
UGAAAUAAAACAGCUUUUCAAAAUGGGUAAGAAAAAGAAGAAGAAUGAGAAAAGUCCUGCAGAAAUAGCGCUGUUAGUUGAGAAUGUCAUGGCUGAGCUUGAGGUAACUGCUGAAGAGGAUGCAGAAUUAAAUAGACGGGGAAAACCUGCCAUCAAUAAACUUAAAAAGUCACCACUUCUUACUGAGGUUCUCUCAAAGUAAGUUGGUUUCUGCCCCAAGUGUGUUUGGUCUGUUUUUGCGGGGAAAACCUGCCAUCAAUAAACUUAAAAAGUCACCACUUCUUACUGAGGUUCUCUCAAAGUAAGUUGGUUUCUGCCCCAAGUGUGUUUGGUCUGUUUUUGCGGGGAAAACCUGCCAUCAAUAAACUUAAAAAGUCA